rnacentral:lncRNA from 1 species
AGGGGCGGUGGCUCAUGCCUGUAUCCUAGCACUGUUUUCAGUUGCUAUAGUUUUACUUUUUCUAGAAUUUCAUUUAGAAGAAAUCAUACUGCAUGGAGUUUUUUUUUUAUCUUAACAAAACAUUACCAAAUCAAUUCACUUGUAUAUAAAAAAGAUUAUAGAUUAAAACAAUUGGCAUUUAUUGUAGAAAUGCAAGGUUAGUUCAGCACUCAAAAAUCAAUAAAUGAUAAACUAUAAAAUACUGAUGCAAGAAAUUGAAAAGGACACA